rnacentral:rRNA from 1 species
UACAGAGGGUGCGAGCGUUGUCCGGAAUCACUGGGCGUAAAGGGCGCGUAGGUAGCCUGAUAAGUAGGGGGUGAAAUCUCGAGGCUCAACUUCGAGGCUGCCUCCUAAACUGUCAGGCUUGAGCAGAGUAGAGGCAGGUGGAAUUCCCGGUGUAGCGGUGGAAUGCGUAGAGAUCGGGAAGAACAUCGGUGGCGAAGGCGGCCUGCUGGGCUCUUGCUGACACUGAGGCGCGACAGCGUGGGGAGCAAACAGG